GAUGAACGCUAGCGGCAGGCUUAAUACAUGCAAGUCGUGGGGCAGCAUGAAUGUAGCAAUACAUUGAUGGCGACCGGCAAACGGGUGCGGAACACGUACACAACCUUCCUAUAAGUGGGGAAUAGCCCAGAGAAAUUUGGAUUAAUACCCCGUAACAUAACGAUGUGGCAUCACAUUGUUAUUAUAGCUUCGGCGCUUAUUGAUGGGUGUGCGGCUGAUUAGAUAGUUGGCGGGGUAACGGCCCACCAAGUCUACGAUCAGUAGCUGAUGUGAGAGCAUGAUCAGCCACACGGGCACUGAGACACGGGCCCGACUCCUACGGGAGGCAGCAGUAAGGAAUAUUGGUCAAUGGACGCAAGUCUGAACCAGCCAUGCCGCGUGAAGGAUUAAGGUCCUCUGGAUUGUAAACUUCUUUUAUCUGGGACGAAAAAAGGCUAUUCUUAGUCACUUGACGGUACCAGAUGAAUAAGCACCGGCUAACUCCGUGCCAGCAGCCGCCGUAAGAC
rnacentral:rRNA from 1 species